AGUCGGACGGCAGCACAGAGAAGCUUGCUUCUCGGGUGGCGAGUGGCGAACGGGUGAGUAACAUAUCGGAACGUACCGAGUAGUGGGGGAUAACUGAUCGAAAGAUCAGCUAAUACCGCAUACGUCUUGAGAGAGAAAGCAGGGGACCUUCGGGCCUUGCGCUAUUCGAGCGGCCGAUAUCUGAUUAGCUAGUUGGUGGGGUAAAGGCCUACCAAGGCGACGAUCAGUAGCGGGUCUGAGAGGAUGAUCCGCCACACUGGGACUGAGACACGGCCCAGACUCCUACGGGAGGCAGCAGUGGGGAAUUUUGGACAAUGGGCGCAAGCCUGAUCCAGCCAUGCCGCGUGUCUGAAGAAGGCCUUCGGGUUGUAAAGGACUUUUGUCAGGGAAGAAAAGGCUGUUGCUAAUAUCAGCGGCUGAUGACGGUACCUGAAGAAUAAGCACCGGCUAA
rnacentral:rRNA from 1 species